CUCAUAUUCUGCUGUUUAGGAGACCGCUACCAAAACAGUGACGGUCAGAGACACUUGUCUCCUCUGGAACAUGCCUGUGGUUGUCAGUGAAUACUAGAGAACUUAACCACGUUUCUGGACUCCUGUGACCAUGAUGCUGCGUUUCACUGCGAUUAUGCCCGAACAGAAUCAAGGGAUUGUAGGAAAUGCAUUUUCAGUGAAAAUGUAAGGGCUCUUAACUAAAUCAUGCGACUCAAGUGCAUCUCUGAGUGAAGCUGAACCUUUAAUAAAAGUCUGUGCUGCAUCGUCAGUGUUUAGAAACCUAAAUUAGUGUUUAAGUGGCUGAGCUAAAUUCAUUUUGGGGAUAAAAGAUGUACUGUAUGCUAAAGGGAGAUCAUUUGUGUGUAUCUAGUUAACGUAUUGGCCAUUCUCAGGUUGAAAUUCUUCGUUUGCAUUCAUUCUUCAGGGAAGGCGAUUGUAAUACUGUACAGAUGCUUUAUAAAGUUUAAAAUGUGCUUCUAUCAAGUAUAAAACUUUGUUAAUAAGGUAGUUGUAGAAGAAGAGCCAUGAUGACGGCACUAUCAGCAACUGUGCUACUUAAGAACAGGGUUUAUAUGGAGAGAGGAAAAAGGUUUUGACCCUUUAUCAUAAAUUACUUUUG